rnacentral:rRNA from 1 species
UACGAAGGGGACUAGCGUUGUUCGGAAUCACUGGGCGUAAAGCGCACGUAGGCGGAUGUGUCAGUCAGGGGUGAAAUCCCGGGGCUCAACCUCGGAACUGCCUUUGAUACAGCACGUCUCGAGUCCGGAAGAGGUGGGUGGAAUUCCUAGUGUAGAGGUGAAAUUCGUAGAUAUUAGGAAGAACACUGGUGGCGAAGGCGGCCCACUGGUCCGGUACUGACGCUGAGGUGCGAAAGCGUGGGGAGCAAACAGG